rnacentral:rRNA from 1 species
UCUUCGGCAAUGGGGGGAACCCUGACCGAGCAACGCCGCGUGAGUGAAGAAGGUUUUCGGAUCGUAAAGCUCUGUUGUAAGAGAAGAACGUGUGUGAGAGUGGAAAGUUCACACAGUGACGGUAACUUACCAGAAAGGGACGGCUAACUACGUGCCAGCAGCCGCGGUAAUACGUAGGUCCCGAGCGUUGUCCGGAUUUAUUGGGCGUAAAGCGAGCGCAGGCGGUUUGAUAAGUCUGAAGUAAAAGGCUGUGGCUUAACCAUAGUAUGCUUUGGAAACUGUCAAACUUGAGUGCAGAAGGGGAGAGUGGAAUUCCAUGUGUAGCGGUGAAAUGCGUAGAUAUAUGGAGGAACACCGGUGGCGAAAGCGGCUCUCUGGUCUGUAACUGACGCUAGGCUCGAAA